GCCUGACUAGCUCAGUUUGUAGAGCAUGGGAUUUUUGAUUUCAGGAUCAUGGGUUUGAGCCCCAUGCUGGGCG